rnacentral:rRNA from 1 species
UACGAAGGGGGCUAGCGUUGCUCGGAAUCACUGGGCGUAAAGGGUGCGUAGGCGGGUCUUUAAGUCAGGGGUGAAAUCCUGGAGCUCAACUCCAGAACUGCCUUUGAUACUGAGGAUCUUGAGUUCGGGAGAGGUGAGUGGAACUGCGAGUGUAGAGGUGAAAUUCGUAGAUAUUGGGAAGAACACCGGUGGCGAAGGCGGCUCACUGGCUCAUUACUGACGCUCAGGCGCGACAGCGUGGGGAUCAAACAGG